GAUGAACGCUGGCGGCGUGCCUAAUACAUGCAAGUCGAGCGAACAGAUGAGGAGCUUGCUCCUCUGACGUUAGCGGCGGACGGGUGAGUAACACGUGGAUAACCUACCUAUAAGACUGGGAUAACUUCGGGAAACCGGAGCUAAUACCGGAUAAUAUAUUGAACCCCAUGGUUCAAUAGUGAAAGACGGUUUUGCUGUCACUUAUAGAUGGAUCCGCGCCGCAUUAGCUAGUUGGUAAGGUAACGGCUUACCAAGGCAACGAUGCGUAGCCGACCUGAGAGGGUGAUCGGCCACACUGGAACUGAGACACGGUCCAGACUCCUACGGGAGGCAGCAGUAGGGAAUCUUCCGCAAUGGGCGAAAGCCUGACGGAGCAACGCCGCGUGAGUGAUGAAGGUCUUCGGAUCGUAAAACUCUGUUAUUAGGGAAGAACAAAUGUGUAAGUAACUAUGCACGUCUUGACGGUACCUAAUCAGAAAGCCACGGCUAACUACGUG
rnacentral:rRNA from 1 species